AUGCAGGAAGAUAUGGCGGAUGUAAGUCAUGAGUCAAUGAUGGAGUACUAUCAUAUUGCCAACAAAAUGUUUAAUAGUGAGGAUGAAGGUUAUAGAUUCUAUAACAAAUAUGGUCUUGAGAAAGGUUUUAGUGUCCGGAGAAGCUAUGUUGAGUGGGAUGAAUCCAACUGCCAUAUAAUUUUAAGGAAAUUUGUGUGCAGUCAUGAAGGGGUUCGUGAAGAGAAGCACAUAAAGAGGAAGAUGGAAGAUAGAAAGAGGAGGCCACGGAGUAUAACUCGUGUAGGGUGUACAGCUAAAUUGGUGAUUGCAAGACUGGAGGAAAUAGGCCAGUGGUUUGUGAAGGAUUUCAUCGAUGGACACAACCAUCCUCUAGCCCCACGGGAUCUGUCGUGUCUUUUGCGUUCACACGGAAGAACUAGCGAUGAGCAGAAAGCGGACAUUGCAGACAUGGAAAAAUCUGGGAUCAGAAAACACCAUAUUAUGGAUAUUAUGUGCAUGCAAUACGGUGGAUAUGAUGAGGUUGGAUGCAUUAUGAGGGACAUUUACAAUUUCUGCCAUGCUAACAAGCAGGAAACAAUUUCUUCCGGGGAUGCUCAAACGGUGAUCCAUCACAUGGUGGCAAGGCAAGAGGAAUAUUCUGAUUUUUUCUUCAGGUACUUGGUUGAUGAAGCUGGCCAUCUGAAGGGACUGUUCUGGUGUGAUAGUCAAUCCCGACUUGACUACGAGGCUUUCGGAGACAUUAUUGUUUUUGAUAGCACAUACAGAACCAAUAAGUACAAUCUGCCAUUUGUGCCGUUUGUCGGGUUGAAUCACCACCGCAGCACCGUUAUUUUUGCAUGUGGUAUCAUUUCACAUGAAAGAAGCCAGGCAUACGAGUGGAUGUUGCGGACCUUUUCUGAUGCUAUGGUACAGAAGCAUCCUAUAUAUAUGUGA
rnacentral:rRNA from 1 species